rnacentral:rRNA from 1 species
GACGAACGCUGGCGGCGUGCUUAACACAUGCAAGUCGAACGGUGAACCUCUUCGGAGGGGAUCAGUGGCGAACGGGUGAGUAACACGUGGGCAACCUGCCCCCGGCUCUGGGAUAACUCCAAGAAAUUGGGGCUAAUACCGGAUGUUCACCGCUUCCCGCAUGGGUGGUGGUGGAAAGGGUUUCCGGCUGGGGAUGGGCCCGCGGCCUAUCAGCUUGUUGGUGGGGUAGUGGCCUACCAAGGCGACGACGGGUAGCCGGCCUGAGAGGGUGACCGGCCACACUGGGACUGAGACACGGCCCAGACUCCUACGGGAGGCAGCAGUGGGGAAUAGUGCGCAAUGGGCGGAAGCCUGACGCAGCGACGCCGCGUGGGGGAUGACGGCCUUCGGGUUGUAAACCUCUUUCAGCAGGGACGAAGCGCAAGUGACGGUACCUGCAGAAGAAGCACCGGCCAACUACGUG